ACUCCGGUGGCCCAGUGAUACGGCUCCCGUCUGCUGUGUGGGCGACCCAGGUUUGAAUCCCGGCAUCAGCA